AGUAAUAACGAGGCCCGCGUGAACAAACUCCAUCUCCUUGAAGAAAGGAGGGAUACCUCCCAAGUGAAUUUGGCAAAGUAUCAUAGGAGAUAACCCGUUAUUAUAGCUCCAAGGUCAUAAACCGAACUCUUUGCUUAGGAGACCUCGUCCUCAGAAGGGUCUUUCAAUCAUCAAAGCCAACCGGGUCAGGUGUGUUCGGACCAAACUAGGAGGGCCCUUACCGCAUCCGCAGGGAAUCCUGACCUGUCACUUUCGAAAUUGAAGACAUGGCAGGGAAAGCACAAUCUCAUCAAUGGAACAACGAACACUUGAAAAAAGACUAUCAGUGAUGAGUUUUUGUUCCGAUCCAAUCUCAAUGUUGUCUAAUAAGUUUGUGUCCCGAUCCGAUCUCAUUUGUAAUUUUCCUAUCUUAUUGGACGCUGAAAAUGCCUUGGUAAUGGAUAAUAUAACUUUUUUAAGUAUUGAUACUUCAGUUCUUUGUCACAUUGGUUAUCAAAUUGUAACCUCGGUCCCUCAGUAUUAUUGCUUAAGUGAUCUGGUCUUCUGAUGUUGUUAAGAGGCGCCUGAUUAUUACUUAAGUGAUCCGAUCUUCUGAUUAUUGUUAAGAGACGCUUGAUGAUUACUUAAGUGGUCCGAUCUUCUGAUUGUUGUUAAGAGACACUUAGUCUUAAAAGGUUGUUAUUCAUAUGUGCAUAAACAGAUCAAUAUGAUACGAAAGUCGAAGCAAUAACACUUGGUAAAAAAUUGUUCAUUUCAUUCACUUCAAAUUUACAAGAGGCCGAAGCCAUUACAAAAUAAGCCCUACUCUACAGGAGGCCCUUCCCCAGCCUCGCCGGCCUCAGGGGCUACCGAAGUGUCCUCAGCAAGCCUAUCAAACCGGCCUCCAGUAAAUCCCCCGAACUCUGCCUCUAAAGAGGAGAUGUCCAAAGUAGGGUGGACCUCCUUCAGCAGACACAAUAUGCCUUGUGCACUCCAAGAGGCCCAGAAAUUUGCAAAUUCGUUGUACAGGGGAUGUUUCUCGAAGUGGUCAAUGAAAUUCUGAACAGCCACUUUCCCUGCCGACUUCAGUUCCUCCUUCAAGGAGGCAAUUUCCUCAUACUGGGCCUCCGUCCUCGGCCUCAGCUCAGCUUUCUCUUUAUUGGAGGCCUCCAGAGCCUCCGUGGCAAGCCGGUGGUGCUUGUUGGCGUGAUCCACUCUUCGGGUCAUGGCAAACAUCUAGCACUCCACUUUAUAGAGUUCCUUCUUCAGCCGCUCUAUGUCUCCCGCAAUAGCCGCCAGCUGGGCCUCAGCCUCCGUCCUCCUUUUCUCUUCCUCCGCAGCCUUAGCCUUAGCCUGGGCCUCCAUCACCUUGUCCCCAUAUUGCAUCGCCUCCUUGAGGCGCUUGGCAAGGUCCUCUCUUUUAGUGUUGAGGUCCUUCACCAAUCCCUCGAGCUGGAUGUUGGUGCUCAGAGCCCGGACCAAACAAGCAUUGUUGGCCGCUACCAAGUCCUCGGCUAUGCAAGAGGCGGUGUGGUUCCUCCAUUCUUCGGUCCAAUACUUAUUGUGGACCACCACCACUGCAGCCGUGGGGAAAGAGCCUCCAGUACUUCUUUAAUCGGCUCCUCGGAGUUAGUGCUCAAGAAGUCCACCUCCUUUGAGGGACGAGCUCUUUUCUUCUUAGGCUGCCCCGGCACCUGGGCGAGAGGGACAGUAGCAACUAGCGCCUUGGUCGGGGCAGGGGAAGCCUCUGAGGACACGGGCGUUCUCUCCAGAAUGGCCACCUUGUAGGAAUUGUGGUUUGCCUCAGAACGGGGGGUGGGCUCACCACCGUUGGCCGCUUCGAAGGGGCAGCAGGUUUUUUGCCCUUCUGAAGCAAAU
rnacentral:lncRNA from 1 species